rnacentral:rRNA from 1 species
UUCGUAGGCGGCCUGAUUAGUCAGAGGUGAAAUCUAACGGCUUAACCGUUAGCCUGCCUUUGAAACUGUCAGGCUUGAGUAUUGGAGAGGAAAGCGGAAUUCUUGGUGUAGCGGUGAAAUGCGUGGAUAUCAAGAGGAACACCCGUGGCGAAAGCGGCUUUCUGGCCAAAUACUGACGCUGAGGAACGAAAGCUAGGGGAGCAAACAGGAUUAGAUACCCUGGUAGUCC